CUUUUGUUGAUGUUGAUGCUGUUUCUUUCUGUUUGUUAGUUUUCCGUCUAACGGUCAGGUCCCUCAGCUGUAGCUCUGAUGGAGUUUGCUGGAGUUCCACUCUAGACCCUGUUUGCCUGGGUAUCACCAGCAGAGGUGGCACAACAGCAAAUAUUGCAGAACUGCAAAUAUUGCUGCCUGAUUCUUUCUCUGGAAGCUUCAACCCAGAGGGGCAGCCGCCUAUAUGAGGUGUCUGUUGGCCCCUACUGGGAGGUAUCUCCCAGUUAGGCUACACAGGGGUCAGGGACCCACUUGAGGAGGCCGUCUGACCAUUUUCAGAGUGCAAACGCCAUGCUGGGAGAACCACUCCUCUCUUCAGAGCUGUCAGACGGGGACAUUUAAGUCUGCGGAAGUUGUCUGCUGCUUUUUGUUCAGCUAUGCUCUUCCCACAGAGGUGGAGUCUAGAGGCAGUAGGCCUUGUUGAGCUGUGGUGGGCUCCACCCAGUUCAAGCUUCCCGGAGGCUUUGUUUACCUACUCAAGCCUCAGCAAUGGCAGACGCCCCUCCCCCAGCCAAGCUGCCAUCUUGCAGAUCGAUCUCAGACUGCUAUGCUAGCAGUGAGCAAGGCUCCAUCAGCGUGGGUGCUGCUGAGCCAGGCACGGGAGAGAAUCUGCCGGUUGCUAAGACCUUGGGAAAAGCACAGUAUUUGGGCGGGAGUGUCCCAUUUUUCCAGGUAGUCUGUCACGGCUUUCCUUGGCUAGGAAAGGGAAAUUCCCCGACCCCUUGUGCUUUCAGGGUGAGGUGAUGCCCUGCCCUGCUUCGGCUCACCCUCUGUGGGUUGCACCCACUGUCCAACCAGUCCCAAUGAGAUGAACCGGGUACCUCAGCUGGAAAUCCAGAAAUCGCCUGUCUUCUGUGUGGAUCAUGCUGGGAGCUUCAGACCAGAGCUGUUCCUAUUCGGCCAUCUUGACUCUGACUGUAUUUAUUUUAUUUUGGCUUGUGACUGUAGUCUUAGCCACUUGGGAGCCGAAGGCAGGAGGAUGGCUUAAGCCCAGGAGAUCAAGGCUGCAGUGAGCUAUGAUUGCACCACUGCACUCCAGCCUGGUUGACAGAGUAAGACCC
rnacentral:lncRNA from 10 species